UAGUCCACGCCGUAAACGAUGAUUACUCGCUGUAGGCGAUACACAGUCUGUGGCUAAGCGAAAGUUUUAAGUAAUCCACCUGGGGAGUACGAUCGCAAGAUUGAAACUCAAAGGAAUUGACGGGGGCCCGCACAAGCGGAGGAACAUGUGGUUUAAUUCGAUGAUACGCGAGGAACCUUACCUGGACUUAAAUGUGCGUUGCAUAGAUCAGAGAUGGUCUUUUCUUCGGACUACGUACAAGGUGCUGCAUGGUUGUCGUCAGCUCGUGCCGUGAGGUGUCGGGUUAAGUCCCAUAACGAGCGCAACCCUUAUUCUUAGUUGCCAGCACAUAAUGGUGGGGACUCUAGGAAGACUGCCGGCGUAAGCCGCGAGGAAGGUGGGGACGACGUCAGGUCCUCAUGGCCUUUAUGCCUAGGGCUGCACACGUCCUACAAUGCAACGUACAAAGCGAAGCGAAAUCGCGAGAUCAAGCAAACCUGAAAAAGCGACCGCUCAGUUCGGAUUG
rnacentral:rRNA from 1 species